AGUGGUUGCGCCCCAAAAAUGUGUACCAGCCACCACCACUCACGAAAAACUGUUUGCUUAGGAAACUUGACUUGACUUCAAACUAGAAAUGUAAAUAUUCAAGGACACGAGGAAUUUUUGGCCUUCAAGCGUAUUGGUGAUGAAUCAACCUGUUUACAUGGAAUUCUAAAUAAUGAAUGAAUGGCUAACUGCUCUCAGAGAAACAGAGAGGAUAUUUUGAGUAUUAUUUUAUCUAUCAGGCAUAAUGCAACUGUGACACUUCAGUAGGAAGUAAUGUUACACAAAAAAGUGCUUCUCAUGUCCUAUAUAUUUCAAUACGGAUAAGUAAUGCAAAAAGUACUACUUGAAACUGCAACCUCUGCUUAAAAAUCCCAUAUAUCCCUCAUGUCUCAUUUAUACAUCAUAAUGGAAUAUUCACUUUAAGUGGCUUGCAACAUCAAAAGUGCAGUUAUAUUUUUUCAAAGCUUUACCUCUGGGUUUUCAAACUUGGCAAUCUGGUUCAUUUCAUUGUUAGAGGAGGGCUUCAAAAGGAAUUGUUAAAGAUGGUCAUCCAGUAGAGUCUUCACAGAGAAUCAUGACACAGUUUAUGUGCCUCUCUGGAGACGUUACGUUCCAUGUCAACCUCAGCAAAUUCCAGCCAGCUCCUGUCUCAUCACAUUUUUAAUUGGAAAGAUAGGAUAUCUCGAAACUUGUACAAUUUGAAUUCACUUUUUAACUCCUGCGCUCAUACAUUUCUUAAUAUUAUCUUACGUUUUAGGUAAUUACUUUCAAAUGGAAAUUGAGCCCCCGUGACAAGAGAGGGAAGAAAAGGUGACUUGUCAGUUAAGCGACUGUAGCAUUUAUGAAUACUGACAGUUGCGAUCUAACAUUAUUAGCAGAAACAUCACUGUGGCAUGAUGUGAUAAAACUGAUAUCUACCGAGCCUGUCUCAUGACAUGGUAAAACUUUUUUUUUAAAUCGUGGCCAUUUAUAAAACUGCAUUUAGUAUGCGUCAUUAAUAAUGUCUAUAGUGAAUUAAAGCAAUAAACCCCAAGAAGCAGUGGGUUACCAGUGCAUUUUAUAACAGCUACACUCAAAAAAUGGGUUUUGUAGCACUGUUCAUUAUACACAAAUAUAUUUAGUUACAUUAACACAUACACAUUUAUUUUUAAGACAAAAUACAAGUGUAAUGUGUUAUGCUAAAUCAAUUUGUUAUUCACUCUGGUUUACCUAACUACCUAUCUUUAAACUAAAGUAAUUGGUUUACUUUUGCGAUAGAGAGUAGACCUAUUAUCAGGUUCAUAUUCCGGAACAGAGGGGGCGGUAAUGCUCCAUUAAGCUGGUUGCCAACCGCCGGUAAAAAAGAAAGAAGAAGAUGAAGAAUUUUUUUCAAACUACAGGAUGUGACGUCAUUUUAACGACUUCCACGAAGACGGCGCGCAGGUGAUGGUGUGGUAAGUAAACUAAAUACGUUUAUUCUUCAAUCCAUCUUAAAACAUUGUUGAGGCAACUUUAUUUUAUGUUUAAGGCGAUGGUGUUUGUUUUUGAUGGUGAUGAUUUCACGUCAUUUGUGCAGCAGUGAGUCAUACCACAAUGACUUCUCCAGUCUGGCUAAAAGUUACAAAAGGUGAUCCUUCAGUAUGCCAUUCCUACUUCAGUGAGUGACCUGUCAAAGGAAAUAGAAAAACAAUGUAAUCUACAAGGACAUUUAAGGCUGCAGUUCAUGGAUUCUGACUUGGGCAAUUAGUUUUUAAAUCUCAUGUCCACAUCUGAAAUUCAAGACAAAAGUACACUAAAGGUGGUAUUCCUGACAACACCAAGUGAUUGUGACAACUUGCCCCCACCACAACUGAACAGUUCUCAAAAGGAGUACCUGCUCAUAACCAGCUCUUUCACUUUCAUCCUGUGACACAGUCAUUUUGUCAACCCCAUCUACAUCAUUAAGCUCUGACUGUGUUGCAAAAGUGUGUCUUGUCAAAUAUAUAACAAAACUGAGAAAAAUUGGCUGUACUCAAGCCCAAACCAGCUGGAAUUUCCAGUGCUGCUUACCAUAUAAAAAAAACAUGCAACGCUGAGGUGAACGUCUGCCCUUACCAUCCACAAACGGAGACAUCCAAAACACUGGAAGUAGUCAGUUUAAUACUUCUGUCUGAAAUUAAAAAGAACAAUGAGAAAACAUUAUGAAUGCUGAUGGACAAGACCUUUUCUAUCAGGAGACAUGAGGUUGUCAAGGAAUCGCCUUCAAUAGCAGAUUUCAAAACUAGAUGGCCUGCUCUUUUCAGAAGAGAAGAGAUUUGUGCAGAGUUUAAAAGAAUCACAACAGCCCCAUUGGUGUCUACAUACUUGCCGAAGAUUAAUCAAUAUUCUGCAAAGCUUAUAAGGAUCUAUGCAAAACGAGGAGUCGCCAAUGGACAGAGAAUUAAAAACCUGCUGGUCUCCACAACACAGACUGACAACAUUGAUCAGACUCCGAUCUUUCUUUGUCUACCUGAAUGAAGACCUGACCAGUCUAAUUAAAUAGUAUUUGGAUACAGAUGCACCCAGUACCCAGGAGGCGAUCCAGAAGAUGGUGAUGGGAGUGCUUGUUGUAAAAAUGUAUGGUUCAGACAUCGAAGACAGCCCAGCAGAUGUUGGAGUGUUAUUAAAGGGAUUAAGAGUUCUCGGACCUCAACAACAUUGUGUAUGCGACAACCAUGCUGAUGGGACUGAAAUCUGCACUGAACUUGAGCUACUUUCCUGAAUUCAGGUACACUUUUGAAGUAUUGUAGUUGUUGUUUCUGGAGCUAGAUGGGAAGUAACUAUCUCAUAAAGUUCAGACGCUGAAGACCAAGCCUUUUGCAGAUGUUUUGAGAAAGGAAUGUUUUAAUAUUUCAUAUGUAAAUGCCAUGUUUUUGAAAUGGCAGUACAAUAACAUUCAAGAAGUAAGCAGUGUCGUCAAUUUAUUUUGAUAGUUUUGCAGUGUGUUUUUAUUUAAUUAGAUUAAUGUAGAGUUGUUUAAAGCUUUGGCUGUACAUAAAUGGUGCUGGAUCUAAUUUGUCAUGGAAUGUUAACGUUUAUAAUGUUGUUACAGUACCAUUUAACUUAAAUUAUACCAAAGUUGUUGAAAAAUCUUUGAAAGUCGCAUGUGCCAGCUCUCUGAAUGAGAGCAACCUAUUUUGUCAGUUAGCAUUACAGUUGUGUAAUACUGUUGUUUAAUUAUACUUAUCCGGGGGCUUGAAAAAACUGCCUGAAUGGUGCUUUGUGCAUUUCAUUUGUCAGUAAGUGUACAAAAUUGUAAUGUUGUUAUAAGGUUACAUUGUAAUAUCCAAAGUCCUUGAAAAACUUUGCAAGUUUUUCAAGUUGAUGAGUGCAUCUCAUUUGUCGGUAUAUCCUUUACGGUAUCUGUAGUUUAACUGCAAUAAACAUGGCUUGAAGAACUGGUGUCUGAGAAUCUUUUAUGAAUAAAAUGAAUGUUAUAUAGAGUUUAUUACAAAAAGUAUAUUUUUGUGUGUGAUUUAACUUGAAAUAGAAAUUGUUGUGUUAAAGUAAAUAAAAGUAAUUGGAUGGAACCACUGUCCACAAUGUAAAUGAGUUGUAUGAAUAAACUACUCUUGAUUUGGACAAGCAAAAAAUAUUUGAUUAGUUUGUACAAGUUAAACACAUGUUCAGAAAACGUAACAAUCUUAAGUUAUGGAUAAGUAACUAAGAUAAUUUUGUUGAACAUUACCACUUCACAUUAGUUAUUUAUUAUUCAAUUGUGUUGCUGCAACAAAAGAAUUUGGCAUUGACUGAAAACAACCCUUAAAUGUUAAUAAAAACUAACUGGGUUGUGUGGAACCACUGUCCACAAUAAAAUUGUGUUCGUUUAAAGUAUCAUUUUUUUGAGUGUAAGGGGCGUUGUUAGGCACGACGUGAAGCGGAGUGCCUAAAACCCCCUUAGCUGUUAUAAAAUGCACGGUAACCCCAAUGCUUCGAGGGGGUUUAUUGCGUUUAUAAAACGGUUACUUCAUAUGCAU